UACGAAGGGGGCGAGCGUUGUUCGGAAUCACUGGGCGUAAAGGGCGCGUAGGCGGCCCUCUUAGUCGCGUGUGAAAGCCCCGGGCUCAACCUGGGAACGGCGCGCGAAACGGGAGGGCUGGAGUUCGGGAGAGGAGAGUGGAAUUCCUAGUGUAGAGGUGAAAUUCGUAGAUAUUAGGAAGAACACCAGUGGCGAAGGCGGCUCACUGGCCCGGUACUGACGCUGAGGCGCGAAAGCGUGGGGAGCAAACAGG
rnacentral:rRNA from 1 species